rnacentral:lncRNA from 1 species
UAGGGCCACUCCCACGGCAUGUGGAGAUUCCCAGGCUAGAGGUCUAAUCAGAGCUGUAGCUGCUGGUCUACGCCAGAGCCACAGCAACACCAGAUCUGAGCUGCGUCUCCGACCUACAACACAGCUCACAGCAAUGCUGGAUCCUUAACCCACUGAGCAAGGCCAGGGAUCGAACCCGCAACCUCAUGGUUCCUAGUCAGAUUUGUUAACCACUGAGCCACGACGGGAACUCCCUGAACAUACUACCUCAGAAAAUAACAAAUUUACCAAGGUAAGCAGAAACAGAGGGGAAAAGAUGCAAUGGAAAUACAAAACAACCAGAAAGUAAAAGCUAAGAUUGCAGUAGUUCUUACAUAUCAACAAAUACUCUAAAUUCAGAUGUGUUUAACUCACCAAUCAAAAGGCACAGAAUGGCUGGAUAUAUUAAAAAAGAACCAGAGUUCCUGUUUUGGCUCAGUGGUUAACAACUCUGACCAGCAUCCAUCUGGACGCAGGUUCGAUCUCUGGCCUUGCUUAGUGAGUUAAGGAUCCGGCAUGGCUGUGGCUGUAGUGUAGGCCACCAGCUACAGCUCCAGUUCACCCCCUACGCUGGGAAUCUCCAUAUGCCAUGGGUGUGGCCCUUAAAAAAAAGCAUAAAGAACCAAACAAUAUGCACCUACAAGAGACUCACUUGAGCCUUAGGGACACAUGAACUCAAAAUGAUGGGAUAGGAAAAAAAUAUUUUAUUCAUGUGGAAACCAAAAGAAAGCAAGAGUAGUUCUAUCAGACAAAAUACACUUUAGGACAAAAAUGGUAACAAGAGUCAAAGAAGAUCAUUACAGCAGAUAUAACAAUCUUAAGUACAGACGUACCCAACAGGGGAGCACCAGAAUAUAUUAAGCUAAUACUAACAGAAAUGAAAGGGAAAAUAAUAUAAUAAUUGUAGGGACACGUUAAUAGCAGAUUUUCAACAAAGGACAGAUGACCCAAAAGAAAAUAAACAAGGAAAUGGUGGACUUGAAUCAAACAUUAAACCAAAUGGACCUAAUAGAUAACUAUAAAAUCAAUAGCCACAAAAUACAUUCUUCUCAAUGGCACUUGGCACCCUUUCAAGGAUAAAUCAUGUGACAGGGCACAAAACAAUUCUUAGUAAAUCUAAGAAGAUUUGAAUCAUAGGAAGUAUCUUCUCUGACCACAAUGGAAAGAAACUCAAAUUCAAAAACAUGAGGAAAGCUAAAAACUCUACAAAUAUGCAGAAAAUAAACACACUCUUGAACAAUCAAUGGGUCAAAGAAGAAAUCAAUAUCUCAAAACAAAUGAAAAUGAAAAUACAACAUAUAUUCAAACCUUUGGGACCUUACAAAAGCAGUUCAGUGAAGGAAGUUUAGUUAUAAAAUCAUGUAUUUAAAAAUUUUAAGGAGUUCCCGUUGUGGCACAGUGGAAACAAAUCCAACUAGGAACCAUGAGGAUGCUGGUGUGAUCCCUGGCCUCACUCAGUGGGUUAAGGAUCCAUCGUUGCCAUGAGCUGUGAUGUAGGUCGAAGACUCGGCUAUGAUCCCACAUUGCUGUGGCUGUGGCGUAGGCUGGCAGCUGUAGUUCUGAUUGGACCCCUAGCCUGGGAAACUUCAUAUGCCAUGGGUGUGGCCCUAAAAAAAAAGAAAAAAAAAAAAAAGGCAAAAAAUAAAUAAAAAUUUUAAGAUCACAAACGAUAUAACUAUAGCAUAACAAACUGGAAAAAAACAAAUUAAGCCUACAGUUAGCAGAAGGAAGGCAAUAAUAAAGAUCACAGCCGAAAUAAAAGAAACAGACCAGUAAAAUGAUGGAAAAGAUCAAUAAAAAUGAGUUUUCCAAAAAAAUAAACAAAAUUGACAAACCCUUGGUGAGGCUUAGGUAAAAAAGGAAAAACUGCAAAAUCACAAAUGUAAGAGAAAAAACACCAACAGACAUGAAAAUACAUAGGAUCAUAAGCAACUACUAAAAACAAGUAUACACAAUAUACUGGACAACCUUGAAAAAACAGGUAAUUUCCUAGAUCAACUUACCAAGACUGAACCAGAGAGAAACAGAAAGUCUGAACAGACCAAUAAUGAGUCCAGAGAUUGUAUCAGAAAUCAAAAACCUCCCAACACAGAAAACAAGACCAGAUGGCUUCACUGGAGAAUUCUACCAAACUUUUAAAGAAGAAUUAACAUCAAUCCUUCUCAAGUACACCCCAAAAAACUGAAGAGGAGGGAACACUUCCAAACUCAUUCUGCAUGGCCAGUAUUAUCAUGAUAACAAAGCCAGAUAAGGACACUACAAGAAAAGGGAACUCUAGGCCAAUAUCCCUGAUAAACACAAAACUCAUCAACAAAGUAUUAUCAAUCCAAAUUCAAGAAUUCAUUUAAAGAAUUAUAUACCAUCAUCAAGUGGGAUUUUUUUUCCCCCAAAGGUGCAGGGAUGGUUCAAAUACACCAAUCAAUAAAUGUGAUAAACCAUAUUAAUAGAAUGAAAGAUGAAAGUCACAUGAUCAUCUCAAUAGAUGCAGAUAACACACUUGGCAGAAUACAACUUUUUAUAAUAAUGAAAACCUUCAGCUGAAAGGAAAAUACCUCAACAUAACAAGCCAUAUGCCACAAACCCACAGCUAACAUUGUGCUCAAUGGAAAAAAUAAAAGUUUUACUCGAAGAUUGAGAACAAGACAAGGGUAUCCACCCUCACAAAUUAUUCACAGUCCUGGGAGUCCUAUCUAGAACAAUCAAGUAAGACGGAGAAAAAAAUACCCAUAUCUGAAAGGGAAAGGUAAAAUUAUCACUACUCCCAGAUGAUGUAAUCUUAGGAAAAGCCCCAAAGACUCAAGUUAAAAGCUAUUGGAUAUAGACAAUGAAUUCAGUAAAUUUGUAGGAUGUAACAAUCAAUACACAGGAGUUUCCACUGUGGUGCAGUGGGUUAAGAAUCUGACUGCAGCACAUGGGUUAAAGGAACUGGCAUUGCUGCAGCUAUGGCACAGUUUGCAGCUAUAGGUGGGAUUCAAUCCCUGGCCCAGGAACUUCCAUAUACCACGAGUGUGGCCAUUUAAAAAAAUAUCAACACACAGAAUAAGCUUCAUUUCUAUAUACUGAGAAACAUCUGCAAAAGAAAACUGUCCUACAGCAUAAAAAACAGUAUAAAAUGUCUAGGAAUAAAUUUUAACAAGGAAAUGAAAGAUCUAUACAAUGAAAAUUAUAAGAAACCCAAAAAGACACCAAGAAGUGGAAGGACAUCUUGCAUUUAUCAGAUGGAAGAGGUAACACUGGAAAUUUUCCUGCUACCCAAAGCCAUCUAUACAGUCAGGGCAAUCUCUCUACAAAUCACAAUGGCAUUUUUCACAGAAAUAUAAAAAUGACUAUUCUAAAAUUUAUACAGAACCACAAAAGCCCCCCCCCAAAUAGCCAAAGCAGUGAUGAGAAAAAAACAAACCCAGAUCCAUCACACUUCUUGAUUUCAAACUAUAGUAGAAAGCAACAGUAAUUAAAACAGUAUGAGAUCUGCAACAAAAACAGACACAUAGACCCAAUGGAAUAGUGCCCCCAGAAUUAACUCCUCACAUAUAUGGUCAAGUAAUAUUUGAUAAGGGAGCCAAGAGUGAGAAAAGCAAAAUCUUUUCAACAAAUAGUGUUGGGAAUAGUUAAAAAACACAUGCAGAAAUUAAAAAACACAUGCUACAAAAUUUGGUUGUGAUGAUUGUUGUAUACCUAUAAAUGUAAUAAAAUUCAUUGAAUAAUUUAAAGAAAUAGAAAAUCUGGAUAGAUCUGCAAUAAGAGAUUUAAUUAGAAAUAGUAAUAAUUAAAAAAAAAAAAAA